CCAUGGCACUGUUCUGCCCCUAACCUCCUCCCACCCCGAUCCAAAAAUCCCCACCUCCGUGAGGCUCCACACCAACCCACCUCCAGCCCCUGGCUCCGGCGUGCCUCCCACUGACGGCCCUCCCGGCCCCUACGCACCACUCGCCGCCGUCGCCCCGUCCCCGACGCGCUUCCCGCUGCCGCCGCUCGGCCACGACGCGCCUACCGCCGCAGCCGUCCCGGCCUCGGCGCGCUUCCCGGCGCCGCCGCCCCGGCCUGGCGCGCCUCUCUUCAUCCCUAGAUCGCCUCCGGCCGCCGCCCUCCAUCCCCACCACGCCCACAUGCCCGGACCUCUGCCGGCCACCGCAUCCACUGGCUCGGCUGCACGCGACCGAGACCCCCCUCUCGCAGCAAACCUUGCCGCUGCACGCCGCCGGCCAGAGCCACUACUCCCUCUGCUCCUGAAUUGUCCCAGAUUCGUGCUGCCCUGAUUCUCUUCGUGUUCUAUUUCAGGUUGGGUGCAGUCUGAACAAAAAUCACAUGUUCUUUUCUUUACCUGAUCAACGUCGUCGGGAGCUAGAGCUCGUACAGAUCCUGGACCUCGUCGGGUACGUCAAUGAACUGCUCCUCCUUCAGCUCCUGUCUGAUCAGCUCGUCUGGGAAUAGAAGGGCCAAGGUCGCUGGGGUUCAGCAUCGGCGGCGACUUCAACAUAGCACAAGAAGUUCAUGUAAAUCUACUGCAAAGGUUCAGUUCAGCUUGAGAGCUAGAGAGAGAUUGGUUGCUGUUGCUGCCCAUGUUUUUCUGGUUUGAACUUGCUGAUGUCCGUGGUUGAAGGAAUGAUAAGAGAUGGUCUUCCUGUGUAUCAUUAACAUGAGCAGAGGAUCAUGCUCUCUUCCGUUCGUGACUUUGGAUGGCUUCUGGUCAACUACAGGUUGGAAGUUUAACAUGUGAGAUUAAGUUUAGAAGUUCUUCUUCUGUUCGCAUUCAGAUUGCUUGCCACCGCCACGCAUUCCUUCGGAAACAGCCACCUUACAUCCCACCGUCGGCCACACACGAUGCUACCAACACACUGCCCCAGGCUGAGCCAUCCACCAGCAGACGAGCUGGCUCUGGCUGUGCUCGAGGUCGCCUCGCUCUUCCCUGCUGGAGGACAAGUUCUACUACAGCCAUGGAUUAACAAUUGUCUAUUGUUAUGCCAUCAAGGCGUUGCCCAAGAGCCACCCGAUUUCUCUCAAAAUUUGGGAGAUUAGUAAUUGUGAGGCGCUCAAGUCGUUGCCCAAGAAUGACCUUACAAGUUCAAUGCUAGAGUUACAUGUCCUUCUAUGAGCAGCGAAGAGCUAAAAAAAGAGAGUGCCGCAAGCUAAUAGGAACAAUCCCGAUUGACAUAACCUGACAAGUCCAAGGGUACUUACCAAUGAACUUGCUAUUAAUUAGAACUUGGCUAUUAUCUACCUAUCUCGCUACAUGAGACAUUCAUGUACAUAGACACGGGGAAUUCACAUAUAUCACAAAUUCAUGUACAGGAAAGUUGAUGCUUUGUGUUUACAUUUUAAAAAUUGUGUUCUCGCCUUCACCAAAUCGUGUGGCCCUGGUUGAAGUUCUAAUUAAGAUUUGUAGUAGUCUCUUUAAUAAAAUUCUGAGAUCA
rnacentral:rRNA from 1 species